GUUAAAAUUGUAUAUGUACGGGUGUCAAAAGUUAAGCUUAAGCUUACAGGUUUAAACCUUCCUGGUGCAGCUGUGAAAAUAAGACAGAGUAAAGUAGCACCUUGACAGUAGGGACUCCAUUUUGGAGUCCUUGAGACUGCAUUCUGGGAAAGCACCCCCCCCCCACCAUGAGACUCUGGUCUGAAACUAUGAUCUCACAUAGUCGGACAAUAGCAGUGCACUACACCACCCUUGGCAACGCACAAAACCCCCCUAGCAUGAUUGCUCAAGCUUAAAAGUAGAAAGGUUGCACCUGGGUUACCUGGGCUAAUAAUGAAGAUGUGAUUUGUCUAUGUCUUAAAAUCAUAAUUGCUGAUUGUAAGAUUUUAGCAACAGCUUAGCAACCGUGUAUUCUCUCCCCCCUCCCGAUUUUGCGGUUUUUGCCUUUAUAAACCCUAUGCUGUAGUUCCUCACUGCUCCUCUGUCCUUGUCAGAGGGCCCCAACAUGUUGGAUCAAUAAAUUUAACCCUUUGCUGGUUGCAUGAGAGAAAAAGUCUCUUGGAGUCGUUCCUUGGGCAGUGGGCUUUUUUUUAGACCCUAACAUUUGGAGGCCCCAGCGAGAUCUGACUGCUGCCUGUGGACGCCUCCAACGGAUAUCUCUCGGGAAGGGAAGUUACUACUGUUCUGCAGGACUCUCCACUGUGACGUACGGUUUGAUCCCCAGACCUUAUGUAAGGGAUGACUGACCUUUUCUGUAAUAAUGCCUGGCCACAGUAUAGGGCCCCAAACAACAACAACAACAAAAAAGGUUGAACUAUAAAAUAAUGUAACAACUAGAUCAAUUUUUCGGUGUAAAAAGUUACACUGACCACCUCAAAGUAUGCAAGCAGGUCACCACAGUUAAUCUUACCUAAAGGGUCAUAGUUCUCCUCAUGGGCACGGUCUUAACUCGCAGGAAAAUAUUAAGUGUCAGAAUUUACCCAUGACCAUAGUUUUUCUAGCUCACCCUGAUAUUUAAAAAAAUCUCCAAAAAUCAGGGAUGGGUUGAGCACCCCCUUGACUGACAUCAUAGAGGCUGCCUCCUUGUCUACUUUAUUAGAGACCAGAAAAAUGAGGAGCAAGCUAGCAGCAGAGGAUAGGCAACAGACCAAUCAAUGGCUGCUUUACACGGUGAUUGCCAUCAAGGAGACCCAGCAAGGCCAGUGCACCCCAAAUGGCACCUGUUGCUGAUAUAAGGAGACAGGGCAUUGGGCAAGCAGCUGUCGUGACAGCAAAUGCCUUCUGUCAGCCCUGCCAAGAGCACGGCCACUGGACACGGAACUGCCCUGGGUGUUGAAGGACUCCUGGUUCAGAACCGCUGACCCUGUGGCCCCGAGCUAAAAAGCCUUUGGCUCUGCCAAGCCUCUGCCCAGCUUCCAGCUCCAGCCACUGCUAUUGGGGAUGGCCUAGGGUCAGUGAAACGCAAGUUGCCUAUUUCCAUCAGCCUCCUAUUCAGCUCUCCUCCUAGUCCAUCCAUGUAAUGCAAGUCAACAGGGUGCCUCCCUUAAAGGAGAUCUGCAUCUCUUUCAAUUCUCUUCCAGCACCCCAUGGAUAGGUCUGGGCCUCACACACCCAGCCAGGCCUUAAAAGUCUAUCCAAUAACAUUAAGCUUAGAAAGCCCUCCCUGCCAGUUCCUAAAAACAGGACUUUCGGUAACAGCUAACUCAGAUAGCCCUACACCGAUUUGAACAGGUCCUCACUGAGGACUUAAAGGGCCUAUCUCUUAAGGGGUGUGCACAAUAAUCCAUAAUAUAAAUGGUUAAAUGUAAAUAAUUCAUUAGUCUGUCCUUUUCCCAGCCUGAGACUCUAGUCUUGUACAUUGGCUUAACUUCCUAGCAAAACUGGCUACUAAAUAUCAAAAAAAAAAAAAAAAUUGUCUCUGGGUCAA